GGGUGGGGGAGCUGGUUGCCAUGAGGGAACAUACCGUGAACCUGUUCCAGCCCAGGCACAGAAUAUGUAGUCCAGGGACAAGAAGGAGGGUGAACUGUGUUUUCAGAACCCUGAAAACACACCCCAGACAGAGAGUAAAGAAGGACAGGCUGAGGAAAUGCAUCAAGGAGAGCUGGAGAAGCAGUGGAAACUCAGAGCAAAGAGCCCCAGGUUUGGAGCUGGAAUUCACACUAUCUUUAUAGACCAAAAAGUACUGAGAUUAGUUAUUGGGAAUUUAGUUCAGAGCAGCCCAAUGUUGAAAGCAUCCCUGGCAGAUGGCAGAAGCAAAUGUAAAUUCUUUCUGGGGGAGCAUACUUCAGCCCCAGUCUCCUGUGAUUCCCACAGAUAACAGCCUGAGAGAUGGAAGCAUGGAGG